CACGUAGGCACCAAGCGUUGUCCGGAUUUAUUGGGCGUAAAGAGCUCGUAGGCGGUUCGGUAAGUCGGGUGUGAAAACUCUGGGCUCAACCCAGAGCCGCCACCCGAUACUGCUGUGACUCGAGUGCGGUAGGGGAGCGGGGAAUUCCUGGUGUAGCGGUGAAAUGCGCAGAUAUCAGGAAGAACACCUAUGGCGAAGGCAGCUCUCUGGGACGGUACUGACGCUGAGACGCGAAAGCGUGGGGAGCGAACAGG
rnacentral:rRNA from 1 species